GAAGAUUGAGGGCAGAAAGGCAGCUGCCACGCCGCUUUUAUAGCGGUCCUUAAAGAGAUGUAGGGUACGCCGUCCUACCAAUGUUC
rnacentral:ncRNA from 1 species